AGAGUUUGAUCCUGGCUCAGAUUGAACGCUGGCGGCAGGCCUAACACAUGCAAGUCGAGCGGUAGCACAGAGAGCUUGCUCUCGGGUGACGAGCGGCGGACGGGUGAGUAAUGUCUGGGAAACUGCCUGAUGGAGGGGGAUAACUACUGGAAACGGUAGCUAAUACCGCAUAACGUCGCAAGACCAAAGUGGGGGACCUUCGGGCCUCAUGCCAUCAGAUGUGCCCAGAUGGGAUUAGCUAGUAGGUGGGGUAACGGCUCACCUAGGCGACGAUCCCUAGCUGGUCUGAGAGGAUGACCAGCCACACUGGAACUGAGACACGGUCCAGACUCCUACGGGAGGCAGCAGUGGGGAAUAUUGCACAAUGGGCGCAAGCCUGAUGCAGCCAUGCCGCGUGUGUGAAGAAGGCCUUCGGGUUGUAAAGCACUUUCAGCGGGGAGGAAGGCGAUAAGGUUAAUAACCUUGUCGAUUGACGUUACCCGCAGAAGAAGCACCGGCUAACUCCGUGCCAGCAGCCGCGGUAAUACGGAGGGUGCAAGCGUUAAUCGGAAUUACUGGGCGUAAAGCGCACGCAGGCGGUCUGUCAAGUCGGAUGUGAAAUCCCCGGGCUCAACCUGGGAACUGCAUUCGAAACUGGCAGGCUAGAGUCUUGUAGAGGGGGGUAGAAUUCCAGGUGUAGCGGUGAAAUGCGUAGAGAUCUGGAGGAAUACCGGUGGCGAAGGCGGCCCCCUGGACAAAGACUGACGCUCAGGUGCGAAAGCGUGGGGAGCAAACAGGAUUAGAUACCCUGGUAGUCCACGCUGUAAACGAUGUCGAUUUGGAGGUUGUGCCCUUGAGGCGUGGCUUCCGGAGCUAACGCGUUAAAUCGACCGCCUGGGGAGUACGGCCGCAAGGUUAAAACUCAAAUGAAUUGACGGGGGCCCGCACAAGCGGUGGAGCAUGUGGUUUAAUUCGAUGCAACGCGAAGAACCUUACCUGGUCUUGACAUCCACAGAACUUUCCAGAGAUGGAUUGGUGCCUUCGGGAACUGUGAGACAGGUGCUGCAUGGCUGUCGUCAGCUCGUGUUGUGAAAUGUUGGGUUAAGUCCCGCAACGAGCGCAACCCUUAUCCUUUGUUGCCAGCGGUUAGGCCGGGAACUCAAAGGAGACUGCCAGUGAUAAACUGGAGGAAGGUGGGGAUGACGUCAAGUCAUCAUGGCCCUUACGACCAGGGCUACACACGUGCUACAAUGGCAUAUACAAAGAGAAGCGACCUCGCGAGAGCAAGCGGACCUCAUAAAGUAUGUCGUAGUCCGGAUUGGAGUCUGCAACUCGACUCCAUGAAGUCGGAAUCGCUAGUAAUCGUAGAUCAGAAUGCUACGGUGAAUACGUUCCCGGGCCUUGUACACACCGCCCGUCACACCAUGGGAGUGGGUUGCAAAAGAAGUAGGUAGCUUAACCUUCGGGAGGGCGCUUACCACUUUGUGAUUCAUGACUGGGGUGAAGUCGUAACAAGGUAACC
rnacentral:rRNA from 1 species